UUUGGAUAGUGACACUGUCCAGCUAGGGGCAGAGAAGAACAAUUCUCUGAAUCUUAUUUUCAUACUGAAUUUUGAGAAGAGAAGAUACAGAGGCUGUUUGAGAAAUAUCCUUAAAUGGGAAAUCUCUCAUCCAGGCAUAAGCUUUAUUCUCUCCUACAGGUCCUGCUGCUUCCAGGCUUAGCUGAAAAUGCCACAGGGAUCAGCUGGAGGAGAGGAGCGACUCUUUUACACAUGUGCACAACCAAUGCAGAGAAGCUGGAAGCACAUCAGACUGUGUUGUACUGUACUGAUUCCUAUCAAUUUAAGUCUACUAAAUACAAGAAAAACCUCUUGUACAAAAAUAUGGGCCCAGUCAAAAUGAUCUUUUAGUAGUAGGCUGUAGCAAUUAAAGUUUAGAGAUCCUACACUCGAGUCAUAGAGUUUAAUGAAUGUGUUCUACCCUUGUGAAAGAAAAAGAAGCCACAGUAGUUAAGAGUCAUUCUGAAAUGACACAAGCAGGGUUAUUAUCCUGGAUUUAUUCAUGAUUCUAUGAGAAAUGUUUUUCCCACAGUUUUUGGUAUUCUUUUCUUUAGAAUCUUUUAUGCCCACUUUUUGGUAUCCUUCUCUUUGUCUUGGCUAAGAUCUUCAUUUUUUCUAAUUAUAUACUAUUAUAUAUGCUUUACAUGCAUGGCUUCAAUUAUAGCUACUUCAUUUUAAUUAGACCUGCUGUGGAACUUUUGGCAAAAAUAACUGUGCUGGGGGUUUUACAUCAGAGGCAUGGCUUUCUCUGUGAGAUGGCUAUCACACAGCUGCACUCUUCCAGCACUGAAAUGCACAAUACUGGUUACAAAGCACUGAGAUGGAAACCAGUUCAUGUUAAAUGGCAGAGCUGCUAAAC